rnacentral:rRNA from 1 species
UACAGAGGGGGCAAGCGUUGUUCGGAAUUACUGGGCGUAAAGGGCGCGUAGGCGGCCUGUUAAGUCGAACGUGAAAUCCCCGGGCUCAACCCGGGAACUGCGUCCGAUACUGGCAGGCUUGAAUCCGGGAGAGGGAUGUGGAAUUCCAGGUGUAGCGGUGAAAUGCGUAGAUAUCUGGAGGAACACCGGUGGCGAAGGCGGCAUCCUGGACCGGUAUUGGACGCUGAGGCGCGAAAGCCAGGGGAGCAAACGGG